rnacentral:rRNA from 1 species
ACAAGGUUUCCGUAGGUGAACUUGCGGAAGGAUCAUUAACGAGUUUUGAUAUCGGGUUGUAGUUGGCCUUCCGAGGCAUGUGCACACCCUGCUCAUCCACUCUACACCUGUGCACUUACUGUAGGUUGGCGUGGGCUUCGGACCUCCGGGUUCGAGGCAUUCUGCCGGCCUAUGUACACUACAAACUCGGAAGUAACAGAAUGUAAACGCGUCUAACGCAUCUUAAUACAACUUUCAGCAACGGAUCUCUUGGCUCUCGCAUCGAUGAAGAACGCAGCGAAAUGCGAUAAGUAAUGUGAAUUGCAGAAUUCAGUGAAUCAUCGAAUCUUUGAACGCACCUUGCGCUCCUUGGUAUUCCGAGGAGCAUGCCUGUUUGAGUGUCAUGGAAUUCUCAACCCAUAGAUCCUUGUGGUUUACGGGCUUGGAUUUGGAGGCUCCCCGGCCCUUACACGGGGUCGGCUCCUCUUGAAUGCAUUAGCUUGAUUCCGUGCGAAUCGGCUCUCAGUGUGAUAAUUGUCUACGCUGUGGCC